CAAAGAUUAAGCCAUGCAUGUCUCAGUACAAGCCGCAUUAAGGUGAAACCGCGAAAGGCUCAUUAAAUCAGUUAUGGUUCCUUAGAUCGUACCCACAUUUACUUGGAUAACUGUGGUAAUUCUAGAGCUAAUACAUGCAAACAGAGUUCCGACCGGAGACGGGAGGAAUGCUUUUAUUAGAUCAAAACCAAUCGGCGGCGGGUGCGCUCGCGCGCCCGUUCGCCGCUCAACCUGGUGACUCUGAAUAACUUUCGGCUGAUCGCACGGUCCAGCACCGGCGACGCAUCUUUCAAAUGUCUGCCUUAUCAACUGUCGAUGGUAGGUUCUGCGCCUACCAUGGUCGUAACGGGUAACGGGGAAUCAGGGUUCGAUUCCGGAGAGGGAGCCUGAGAAACGGCUACCACAUCCAAG
rnacentral:rRNA from 1 species